rnacentral:lncRNA from 1 species
GACUUACAUAGUGAUUUCUUGAAACCUUUUCAAUAUGACAUUCUAAUUCCUUAAAGUCAAGGAAACUUUUGCUGAAGACUGCCUUACCCAGAGACCACCUUAUCAGCGACACAAAAUUGCUGAGAAGAGUCAGUGUAAUUAAAAUCAACUAACGGCCAGCUCGGGGAAGAGAGGGAGCAUGGCUCUUCCUACCUGUUGACAUGUCCCUGCCUGGAAAGUCCACCUGCAAACAUGUAAGAGGACAGUGGUAUUCACAUAUUUUUGCCUGCAAGACCAUGCUGGGUGACUGAAAGCAU